UGGCAAUAGAUAGACAUCAGUUAUAUAUAUGUUAGAAUAAAAUUGUGGACUUCUAUCAUUGCACUUCCAUUUUGACAUGAACUGGCCAGGUCCAUGCAUGAUUAAAUGUGAAGGUUUCUCUACCAAAUUGUGCCAAUAUGAUAUCAAUAACUUGUAUUGAUUUAUAUUUUUCUUGUUUUACAGCAAGUAAAUGAAAUACUUAGGUUUGUUUGAAAAAUUGAGCAAAUGUUGAUGUAAUUUUUAAGUGGUUCCAUUGUGUGGUUCAGUAAAGUUUGCAAAAAAUGUGGAAAGUUACCAUAAUAUUUUUUUUAUCAAUUCAGCUGUUUGUGAGGAAAUAGCAUGAGCUUAAUCAAACACGGUCAUGAGGUUCUUGGGUUAAUUUUGCACUGUGUUUUAAUUUAUGAAAACAGUAUUUCCAUAGUGUUACUUAUAACAUUUGAAAAUGACAUCUAAUCCACUGUAAUUUUUUUUUUUAAAUUAGGGAUCAACAUCAAAUAAUUUUUUAAACCACAAACAAUAUUCAGCUUUCAUUUUGCUCUUGACUAUAAUUUCUGGCUUUCUGCAUGAAAAAUUAUUCACCUAUUUAACCCUUUUAUUAGUUGUUUUUUUUUUUUAACUUUAAUUGCUAUAUAUUUAUGCCCCCUGCCUAAAAAGGACUUAAUGCUCCUAUCAGUCAAUACCUCAGUAUCAAUCAUUAGUAUAUCAGUUGGUCAGUAGAAAAAGUGUUGUCUGUUUAUGAGAAUCUUUUUCUUAACAGCCCUAACCUUAGUGCACUGGUAUCCACUGUGUAGUAGAUCUGACUCCUUUUGAUUUGGGUUCCACUGAAGAGUAGAUAAGCAUUUAAAAUAGAUUUUGAAGGCAACAGGUCAGGGGAAAACUGGGAAUUGAAAUGAUACCGACUGCUCAGUAUCUUGAUAGGCAUCAAACUUGGUACUCCUCUGAGGAGUAGAUGACCCUCAUUGAUUUUUCACAUCACAAGAUCAAAGGUCAAGGGCAAACAGGAUGUAGGAAGAUUUUGCCUGCUCAAUAUCUUGAUAACCCUGUCUUUAUAACAGACGUCAAACAUGGUACAUUGGUUACCCUUAGGGAGGAAAUGACCUCUGUUGAUUUUGCAGUCAUUAGGUCAAAGGUCAAAUGACAAAUUUUUGAUGCACUUGUACCCUGUUUGAAGAAUAUAACUUGCCUUAACAUUGACAUGUGAUAGAGAUAGGCUGCCCUUGACAAGUAGAUGAAUAAUACAUUUAUUGUUUCACUAUCAUUACAGACAUUCUAAAUUAAAAUUUGUUUCUUUUUCAUAUUGCCAUAUGGGGUCAUAUAUAUUUAUGUUUAUCAAUCAUUUUUUAUUUUAAUAAUUUUGUGGUGAAAACUGCAGUGAGAUUACAUGUACUGAAUGUAGUUCUGGAUUUGUUAACGUUUCUGUUUAAGGACAUACGCAGUAAUCUGUUUUUGCUUAUUUGAAAAUAUUAAGUUUUUUUUCAUCCCAUCUGUCUAUAAUAAUUCUUAAUUUAAAAUUUUUAAGUAUAAUUUGAAAUGAAGAAAAUCAAAUUUCAGCUGAAUGAAAGCUGUUUAUAGCAAUUUUGUAUACUGUAUCUGCAAGUAAUUCACUUGUAUUACAUGUAGUAGGUGCACACUUUCAAGAUGCUGUGGUGUUUAAUUCAAUGUCUUAAUGCUCAGAAUUUUCCCUUUCCUGUAUUAUAGGUGAUUUUUUAAAUAUUAAUUUUGAUAUGUGAUAUAUUGUCUUUAUAUAUUACAUUAAUUUCUUUGUGGGCGAAGAAAAGAAUACAAAUGAAUGAAUCAAG